AGCGAAAGCAGCAGGUGGAGGGAGGCAGGAGGACAGGAGGAGGGGAGGCGAGCGCUGGGCCCCCGCGCGCGGCCGACAACACUCCCCGGCGCUUCGGCGGCCGGCGCGCUCUGGGCACCGCCAAGAUCUGAUUAAAGAUCCGGAGCCCAACAAUUGACUGGAGGGUCGCUCCGGGUUUGGCGAAGGGAUCUCUGCUCAGUGGGCGACACUCGGCCGGCGGGACCAAAAG